rnacentral:pre_miRNA from 1 species
CUACCUCCGCAGGCUGUCUGGUCCCCAGGCUGGGUUGGGCGAAUAUCUAUCUAUUCGAAAGGCUCACCCUCAAGCACAACUAGGAGC